rnacentral:misc_RNA from 1 species
GAUGAAGAACGUAGCGAAAUGCGAUAAGUAAUGUGAAUUGCAGAAUUCAGUGAAUCAUCGAAUCUUUGAACGCACCUUGCGCCCUUUGGCCAUUCCGAAGGGCAUGCCUGUUUGAGUAUCAUGAACACCUCAACUCUUUAUGGUUUUCCAUGAUGAGCUUGGACUCUGGGGGUUUUGCUGGCUCACAGUCGGCUCCUCUGAAAUGAAUCAGCUUACCAGUGUUUGGUGGGUAUCAUAGGUGUGAUAACUAUCUACGCUUGUGGUUUUUCCACCAGGUAACCUUCAGCAGUGGAGGUUCGCUGGAGCUCAUAGAUGUCUCUCCUCAGUGAGGACAGCUCUUUGAAUGUUUGAUCUCAAAUCAGGUAGGACUACCCGCUGAACUUAAGCAUAUCAAUAAGCGGAGA